AACGAAAAAACGUUACAUACCUCUUUUUUUACGUAAUCGGUUAAUCGAGCGCUAAUGCGAACGCGUGGAUUCUCUGCGGCUCGCAUAUAAAAGGAGUUGCGACGGCGUCCGCGCCACAUUUCUCACGAGCCGGCAUCGCCUACGCGCGCUCCUAAAUAUUUAAAUUGCAAAUAUAAAUCCGCAUUUCGGCAACUACGACAAUUGCUUUUGAAAUUAACAACUUGUGAGUAUAAGAAGUUCCCGUAUUCGGGAACUCCGUUAGGGUUUAAAACCCUCGGCCACUACGUGGCCAACAUCAUCUACAAGCGACGCGCGUCGUGCCUGGCAGCCGCAGUUCCGGGUUCACUUCCCGUCGGAGUCCUCCUUCAACAUCUUCCGUCUCCGACACGACAAGGCGCCGGCUAUCUACAUUCCAGCCGGCCUUUACCCAGGGGAGUGCAUAACCCCGGGAGUGCUAACGAUCCGUACCUUUAGGCCGGAGCCCACGUAUUCAUAAAUUUUUAUGUACCCUGGGAUUCAUUUCUCUUUUUAAUUAAAUCAGUUAACCGCC